rnacentral:lncRNA from 1 species
AUAAUCUUGGUUUGACCAUAUCUUUAUUUGAUUUUUCUAUCCUUCUUCCAGGAUUGUACACUGAAUGCAAGCAGCCAGACCAAGCCCUCUGAUGUGGCCAGGAACAAGGACUGGUCUGUGUAUAUAUUUAUUGGUGAUAUACGGACCUCAGAUCUGAUACUGGACCAGGAUCAAAAAUCUCUCUGGAUGAACUCAGGAUUUCUGACAUUUGCUCCAGGAGCAGUGUCAGAAUUGGUUUCUGGAGUCAGAUACACACUGAGUUCUCAUUCUUCCAAUGAUAGACUCCACAAGAAUGACUUUCUUCUCUUGAAAUUCAGUUACAAAAUUCAGGAAACAUCAUGUACCUUCCAAGGAUGUUGUAAGGAGAUACUCAUCUAGCACAGGGCAGGUCAGUAAAUCGGUAGCUGUUGUCUUUAGUAAUAAAUUUGGUAACUGUCUUGGGCCA